UGAGUAACCUGCCCUUAACUCUGGGAUAAGCCUGGAAACUGGGUCUAAUACCGGAUAUGACUCCUCAUCGCAUGGUGGGGGGUGGAAAGCUUUUUGUGGUUUUGGAUGGACUCGCGGCCUAUCAGCUUGUUGGUGAGGUAAUGGCUCACCAAGGCGACGACGGGUAGCCGGCCUGAGAGGGUGACCGGCCACACGUGGGACUGAGACACGGCCCAGACCUCCGUACGGGAGCAG
rnacentral:rRNA from 1 species